GGCCCGGUAGCUCAGGUGGUAGAGCGUUGGACUGAAAAUCCAUGCGUCACCAGUUCAAGUCUGGUCUGGGCCACCA
rnacentral:tRNA from 2 species